GACGAACGCUGGCGGCGUGCUUAACACAUGCAAGUCGAACGGAGUGGCGAACGGGUGAGUAACACGUGGGGGAUAUGCCUUGCAAUUCGGGAUAAGCUUGGGAAAAUGGGUCUAAUACCGGAUAGUGCAAGAUGAGCUAGCGGCCUAUCGGCUUGUUGGUGGGGUAAUGGCCUACCAAGGCGUCGACGGGUAGCCGGCCUGAGAGGGGGUACGGCAACAUUGUGCCUGAGAUACGGCGCAGACUCCUACGGGAGGCAGCAGUGGGGAAUAUUGCGCAAUGGGCGGAAGCCUGAUGCAGCGACGCCGGGUGGGGGAUGAAGGCCUUCGGGUUGUAAACGCCUUUCGACAGGGACGCGGUACCUGUAUAAGAAGCACCGGCUAACUACGUGCCAGCAGCCGCGGUAAUUC
rnacentral:rRNA from 1 species